ensembl:snRNA U6 U6 spliceosomal RNA
GUGAUCGCUUCGGCAGCAAGUACAGUAAAACUGGAACGAUACAGAGAAGAUUAGCAUGCCCUGCACAAGGACGACAUGCAAAUUGAUUCCAUAUUUUU